rnacentral:snRNA from 1 species
GAACUCCCUUCUGCCAUACAUAUGUAAAAACUGGAGCACUACAGAGAUGAUUAGUCUGGCCUGUGUGCAAGGAUGACAUGUAAACUCCCAAAGUGUUCUAUAUUUUU